UGUAACACUGAUCGCAGUGACAGGCUGUCACUGCGAUCAGAGCGCUCUGAGAUCACAGUGACAGCCUGUUACUGCGAUCUCAGAC
rnacentral:miRNA from 1 species